GGCCUCAGUAAAGCCUGAACUCGAGUAGGCUGGCAAGCCCCAGGAAGAAGGCUUGCAGUCAGAGUGGCCACUACAGUUCUCUGCAGCAGACCCUCCUCCCAGGCCAGACAGCUCAGCCUUUGCCAGGAGCUCACAGAAAUGUGCCUAGUACUCUUCCCAUUUCAUUCUCACCAACAACUCCAUGAGGACUACAAUCCCACUUCCACAAGCAACACUAAGAAUUCUGUGCGAUCAGCUUUCAUAUUCCAAUAAGGUUUGAAAUCCCUAAAAGAGAGAGGUGCAAGUCUUAAAUUUGCCAUGGAGCCGAAUGAGGAACAUCAAGUUUCAUGGGAGAAAACAGCCUCUGCUCAGGCAAAACAGCUCAGGGAGAGGAGAGCUGCUCUUGUGGUGAUGAGCAUGAACUCUCCCCCUUUGCUAAGCAGGGUCUACCCUGGUUUGCAUUUGGAUGGAUAACUCCAUGUGAACGCUGUCAUAAUCCAAGGAGACAAUGGGGCGGGGAAUUCAAAAUGUUAUUGCUUCACAACUCAGCAGAUACUUCUACAGUCUGGUUGCUCUUUGUCUAAGCGCACUCUAAAAUUAUUCUGGGUCCGCCCCCAGAGUUCUGCUUCCCUUUCCCCAGAGUUCCACUAGGCUUUCCUUUUUAAAGUGAUAGUACUGCAUUAACAAUUAACAAAGAAUAACCAGACUGGAUUGCAUUUAUUUAUGUAUGUAUUUAGCAAAUUUAUUGACUGCCCGACUUCCAUAGACAUGAGGCAGUUUACAUAAAUUAAAACAACAAUGAAAAUAAGAGUGGGGGGAGGAAAAAAACAGACACACACAAUAAAAAUUAAACGCCUGGCAAAGUAAAUAAGUUUUCAAAAGCUUCUUAAAGAACAGAGGGGAGGUGGCAUUACAAAUCUCAGGAGGCAGGGUGGUAAUAGGUCAGUACAUUAGUGAUGUGCCCGGACUGGUCCGGAGGCCAUUCUACAGGCCUCCAGACCGGUGCGGACAUCAGCGGUUUGGGGUUUGGGUGGAAACAUAGGAAACUGCCAUAUACUGAGUCAGACCAUUGGUCUAUCUAGCUCAGUGUAGUCUUCACAGACUGGCAGUGGCUUCUCCAAGGUUGCAGGCAGGAAUCUCUCUCAGCCCUAUCUUGGAGAAGUCAGGAGGGAACUUGAAACCUUCUGCUCUUCCCAGAGCAGCUUCAUCCCCUGAGGGGAAGAUCUUGCAGUGCUCACACAUCAAGUCUCCCAUUCAGAUGCAACCAGGGCAGACCCUGCUUAUCUAUGGGUACAUAGCUAAGGCAUAGAAAGGCUUCAAGAAGCCUUUUGCACGUGC